AUGUCUUUUGUAUCACUGUGGUACACGUUCGGUGGAGGAACCAGACUGGAUGUUGGAAGUGAUGUCCGUCCCACCCUGACGGUGCUGCCCCCCUCCAGCGAGGAGCUGCAGAAGGGGAAGGCCACGCUCAUGUGUCUGGCCAACGACGGCUUCCCCUCAGACUGGAGUCUGGCCUGGAAGGUGGACGGCAGCAGCAGCAGCAGCUUGGAGCAGAGCAGGAGCCCCGGGGUGCUGCAGAAGGACGGCCGCUACAGCUGGAGCAGCACCCUGAGGCUCCCUGCAGACCAGUGGAGGAAGGUGGUCUCUGUGACCUGUGAGGCCACCCAGGGCUCCCAGACUCCAGUCUCAGAGACACUGAGGAGAGACCAGUGUUCCCAGUCCUGA